CUACGGGUGGCAGCAGUGAGGAAUAUUGGUCAAUGGGCGCGCGCCUGAACCAGCCAAGUCGCGUGAGGGAAGACGGUCCUAUGGAUUGUAAACCUCUUUUGUCGGGGAGCAAAAGACGCCACGCGUGGCGUUCCGCGAGUACCCGAAGAAAAAGCAUCGGCUAACUCCGUGCCAGCAGCCGCGGUACUACGGAGGAUGCGAGCGUUAUCCGGAUUUAUUGGGUUUAAAGGGUGCGCAGGCGGAAGAUCAAGUCAGCGGUAAAAUUGAGAGGCUCAACCUCUUCGAGCCGUUGAAACUGGUUUUCUUGAGUGAGUGAGAAGUAUGCGGAAUGCGUGGUGUAGCGGUGAAAUGCAUAGAUAUCACGCAGAACUCCGAUUGCGAAGGCAGCAUACCGGCGCUCAACUGACGCUGAGGCACGAAAGCGUGGGGAUCGAACAGGAUUAGAUACCCCAGUAGUC
rnacentral:rRNA from 1 species